AUGGAGUGUGUUCUUCAAAUCUUCAUUUUGUCAGAACUGAGGUCCCUGAAAGGCUUGUCAAAUGGAUUGCUACUAGGAGCCUACGACCCCCUUGAUCCAACGGGCAACAUCACAAUCAGAUGGGAUGUGAGGAGCUGGGUUCCAGAUAGCUAUGUGGCUGAGGUUUCACUAUUCAACUAUCAGCAGUACCGCCACUUCAGCCACCGGGAUGGAAGCUCGGGUGGGUGUGGUCAAAGAAGGAGCUGCAAGGUGAACCCGGAGAUAGUCGACCUGCUUCCCGGGGCACCUUCCAAUAGGCAGAGGGCCAACUGCUGCAAAGGAGGAGUCCUCAGCUCACUGGCACAGUACCCUGCUAAUGCUGUGGCCUCCUUUGAGGUUGCAGUUGGUCGAUCAGGGACCACAACCAAGACCUUGGAAUUGCCUGUGAAUUUCACUCUGAAGGCCCCUGGUCCAGGGUAUACCUGUGGACCUGCAACCAAGUUAGAUGAACCUACAAAGUUCACUACACCAGAUGGAAGGAGGAAAACUCAAGCCCACAUGACAUGGACUGUGACUUGCACGUACUCGCCGUUUCGUGCUCUGAGAUCUACAUGCUGUUUAUCUCUGUCAGCAUUUUACAGCGACGUGCCUGUUACCUGCCCCAAAUGCUCAUGUGGCUGCCAAGAUAACAUUACAAAACCAGGAAUCUGCGUAGAGGGAAACUCACCUUAUCUUGGUUCUGUCAUGAAUGGUCAAGACAAGAACGGCUUGGCACCUCUGGUCCAAUGCACUACUCAUAUGUGCCCAAUAAGAGUUCAUUGGCAUGUGAAGGCUAACUACAAGGAGUACUGGAGAGCCAAGAUCACAGUGACAAACUUCAACUACCGGAUGAAUUACUCGCAGUGGAACCUAGUAGCUCAGCACCCUAAUUUCAACAGCUUGACUAGCAUUACCAGCUUCAACUACACAGCUCUGAACCCUUAUGGACUUAUAAAUGACACCGCUCUGUUAUGGGGCAUCAGGCACUACAAUGAUUAUCUCUUGACUGCUGGACCUGAUGGAUAUGUUCAAUCUGAGCUACUAUUCCGGAAGGACCCGUCAACUUUCACCUUGCGGGCAGGAUGGGCCUUUCCAAGAAGAGUGUACUUCAAUGGCGACAAGUGUGUGAUGCCACCUCCAGAUGCGUACCCGUGGCUGCCAAACACAUCCACGAAAUCAACCGUAUCAGUUAUCGUCCCAUUGGUUCUUUGGAUAUUGCUAGCUAAUCCCUACUUCUGA
rnacentral:rRNA from 1 species